UUUUCCUACGGGGGGCAGCAGUGGGGGAUAUUGCACAAUGGGGGGAACCCUGAUGCAGCGACGCCGCGUGAGUGAAGAAGUAUCUCGGUAUGUAAAGCUCUAUCAGCAGGGAAGAAGCAAGACGGUACCUGACUAAGAAGCCCCGGCUAACUACGUGCCAGCAGCCGCGGUAAUACGUAGGUGGCAAGCGUUAUCCGGAUUUACUGGGUGUAAAGGGCGUGUAGGCGGGGAGGCAAGUCAGAUGUGAAAACCACGGGCUCAACCUGUGGCCUGCAUUUGAAACUGUUUUUCUUGAGUGCUGGAGG
rnacentral:rRNA from 1 species